GCUUGCUUCAGCAGCAGAAUACCAAACUGCAAUAAUACAGAGAAGGUCAGCAUGGCCCCUAUACAUGGAUGACAUGUGAAUUCAUAAAUGGUCAAUCAAUACUU